rnacentral:rRNA from 1 species
UCAAAAACAUGUCUAUAUAGAUUCUUAAUAUAAAGUCUAACCUGCCCACUGAGUUAUUAAAGGGCUGCGGUAAUUUGACCGUGCAAAGGUAGCAUAAUCAGUAGUCUUUUAAUUGAAGGCUUGAAUGAACGGUUGGAUGCGGGAAAAACUGUCUCUCCUAUAAAUUGAAAUUUGACCUUUAAGUGAAAAGGCUUAAAUUAACUAAGGGGACGAUAAGACCCUAUAAAACUUAAUAUAAAUUAUAUUUUGUUCUUAAAUUAUAAAUAAUCAUAAUAAAAUCUAAUUUAUAUUUUGUUGGGGAGACAUUGAUAUAAAUUGUAACUGUCUAAUCUAAAAAACAUAAUUAUUAUUAUAAUGUGAUCCUUCACUGAGGAUAAAAAGAAUAAGUUACUUUAGGGAUAACAGCGUAAUUUUUUCUGAGAGUUCUUAUCGAAGAAAGUAGUUGCGACCUCGAUGUUGAAUUAAAAUUUCAGUUAGGUGUAGCCGCUUAGCUUGUGGGUCUGUUCGACCUUUAAAAUUUUACAUGAUCUGAG